rnacentral:misc_RNA from 1 species
GAUGAAGAACGCAGCGAAAUGCGAUAAGUAAUGCGAAUUGCAGAAUUCAGUGAAUCAUCGAAUCUUUGAACGCACAUUGCGCCCUCUGGUAUUCCGGGGGGCAUGCCUGUUCGAGCGUCAUUAUAACCACUCAAGCUCUCGCUUGGUAUUGGGGCUCGCGGUUCCGCGGCCCCUAAAAUCAGUGGCGGUGCCUGUCGGCUCUACGCGUAGUAAUACUCCUCGCGAUUGAGUCCGGUAGGUCUACUUGCCAGCAACCCCCAAUUUUUACAGGUUGACCUCGGAUCAGGUAGGGAUACCCGCUGAACUUAAGCAUAUCAAUAAGCGGAGGA